rnacentral:rRNA from 1 species
CCUACGGGAGGCAGCAGUGGGGGAUAUUGCACAAUGGGGGGAACCCUGAUGCAGCGACGCCGCGUGGGUGAAGGAGUGCUUCGGCAUGUAAAGCCCUAUCGGCAGGGAAGAAGCAAGACGGUACCUGACUAAGAAGCGACGGCUAACUACGCGCCAGCAGCCGCGGUAAUACGUAGGGGGCGAGCGUUAUCCGGAUUCACUGGGUGGAAAGGGAGGGUAGACGGCCAUGCAAGCCAGGGGGGAAAGCCCGGGGCCCAACCCCGGGACUGCCCUGGAAACUGCAUGGCGGGAGUGCGGGAGGGGGAGGCGGAAUUCCUGGUGUAGCGGUGAAAUGCGUAGAUAUCAGGAGGAACACCGGCGGCGAAGGCGGCCUGCUGGACCGCGACUGACGUUGAGGCACGAAAGCGUGGGGAGCGAAAAGGAUUAGAUACCCUAGUAGUC